CACAGGCUCCCUUCUGCCUUCUCUCCAUGCUGUGAAUGCAAUGCACACUAGCUCGGAAGGGAACGGGCCCUCCACGUCCUGCUUUUAAUCUGGAAAUGCUAAGCCUGCUCCUGUACCAAAGGCAGAGUCCACCAUCCCUUCAUGCCCUGUAAGAAGACAUAGCAGCUCUGUUGUGAGCCAUGCCACCAGACGCAACAGCCCCUGGGACAACAGGACUCCCUCCUCCACCUCCCUGCACCUUCCCACAGACCAGCACCUGGGGAAAGAGUGACAGUCCAUGGGCAGUCUUCAGAGAGAAUUUCUGAGAUUUUGCCAGUGACAGGAAGGAAAAGUGUUGGGUAGAAGUCACUGGCGGUGAUGUGAAGGGCAGUGAGUUCCUGCGGGGCCCCAUACUAAUCUGAUCCACUUGAACAGCAGUUAGGAACGGAACAAGGGACACCUGAGAGUGUGCCUAUAGAGCAUUGUGCCAGAAUAGACAAUGCUGCAGUGGCCCCCAAAACCUACCGCUUCAGAGCAAAUAGCAGAGGUAUGACUCUGACACUAACGAGAAAAGGACAAGGUAUGACCGCACACAGCAAUCGGAUCUCUUGGUCGCACUGAGACCGGUGACCCAUCAGUUCUUAAAAGAGAAGCAGAGGCUCUACUGAGCGGAAGCUCUCGCCAAAAGCUUUCUCAGGACAGCCAACAGACUUGUUACACACGUUACCGCAACCCAGGUCAGCAAGGCUUAUCUGCAUACUUGCUGGGUGGGCAGUACCUAGGAAGAGCCUCCUGCACCUGGGUGAGUGGUAGCUGAGAUUUUCCCUCAUCAACAGGCUGUGGCUGAUGAAGCUAGAGUGGGGACAGCCCACGACUAAGGUCUCUCUGAGGUUGUCCAAGGAUCAUGUAGCCACCCAAGGCUUCUGUCCACCACUGCCAAUGAGGAGACUGGACCAUAUGGAAGCGAAGAACAAACGCAUUCAAGACAAAGGUGAUCACGCGAAACAACACCUACGGAAAAAGAGGGGAAAUACACGAGAAUAAAUUAUGUUGGGAACAUUUACUUGUGAAAUGAAAACAAUGCGGCUGUUCUCCCUAAUAACGUACUGACAGCAGCUUCGCCAGAGACCCUCUCAGAAACGCGCCGCCUAUCUGCAUUUCUGCUGAAAUGUCAUUCCUUGGGGUCCCUCAGCACACCUCUGCAAUGGUCAAGAACCCACAAAGGCACAUGGAAGUCUCCCUAAUUUAUUGAUAAGAGGGAGGCCCUGACAUAUUUAGUGAAUUUCUUCCAGUUCAAAGUUAGGCGCUCCAGGAGACAGAGAAUUCUAGUUAGUGCUUCACAUUGGCCCCCACUCCAGCCUGUUUAGAAAUAGCACAUGCUUAGCAAGUGGGAGCCUGCAGGGUACGGCGGUAUCUCUAGGAAUCACAGGGCAUAAUUUCUCUUUCUUCUCUGCCUAGUAAUAUCUGGGGAUUCUGAUAAUGACUUUUAGUCUCUUUUAACUUGUAUUCUCAAUUAGAAAAGCAAAAAAUAUUUGCUACUUUCCUGAGAGGAGUUGAAAA